AUGCCUACAGAGACUGAGAGAUGCAUUGAGUCCCUGAUUGCUGUUUUCCAAAAGUACAGCGGGAAGGAUGGAAACAACACUCAACUCUCCAAAACUGAAUUCCUUUCCUUCAUGAACACAGAGCUGGCUGCCUUCACAAAGAACCAGAAGGAUCCUGAUGUCCUUGACCGCAUGAUGAAGAAGCUGGACCUCAACUGUGAUGGGCAGCUAGAUUUCCAAGAGUUUCUCAACCUCAUUGGCGGCUUAGCUAUAGCAUGCCAUGAUUCUUUCAUCCAAACUUCCCAGAAGCGAAUCUAA
rnacentral:lncRNA from 1 species